GGCUCCCCUCGAUCUAUUUGCUUGGUCGACCGUGAAGCACACCGAUGCUGCCAUCGUGGAGCCCUUCGCCGCCUUCGACGCCGCCAUCGUGGAGCCCUUCACCGCCACCGAGAUCUGAGAUCGCCGCCGCAGAGGUCCGAGAUCACCAUCCCUUUACGUUUCUGGUUCGCUGGAAUAUCUCCCUUUUCCCAUCUCCCUCUCGCGCGUCAUUUCUGCCACCGCCCACUACUGUCCGCCUCCGUAGGAUAGAUCACCAGCGCCGGGAGGCUGUGAGGUCGUCGGCGCAGCAUCGGGUGGCUCUCCCGAUCCAGGGAUCGAGCGCCUGGGGCAGGAGGCGUCUACGGGAUGCGCACAUGGGAGCUGGGAGGUUCUCCUAGCCAUGGGAUCUGGGAUCCGGAGGUCGUCCUCUGCUUGCAUGUGACUGUUGAUAGGAAAGAACAAGGAUUCAUGUAAGGAGGGGAGAAUCCGUGGCACGGUGAUGUACGUCCGGCCGUUCGUAUGGUGCAUGCAUUUUGUUCAAGGCCGACCAGCUUGCAAUUUUGCAGCCGAACAAAUUUGCUAGCCGUGUAUUCACACCCCUGGUCUCAUCUCUCAUCGCUUCUUGGUGGCUCCAUGGAAUGCAUGAAGCUGCUCACUAAGGUGCUACAAUACUUUAUCUUCUGCUAAUUGAUCUCCAAGUUCCCGUUGAUUGCAUAAAUCAUACUAGGUAUUUGCAUUGUCGCGAUGUGACGGUUAUUUUUGAAGUAGCACUUGCAGUGCUUGGAUCGCUAGAGUUCCAUAGAAUUUCCACAUGAAUUGCGCAUAUUGAUUUCUCACGUGGAAAUGUUACCUAGGGUGGGGAUAAUGUUGAUGCCGGUGGAUUCAGUGGAGUGAUCCCACUGUUGUUAGCGUGCAGCCGCCGUGGCAACAUUGGAUUCGUCAAGUGCUUGUAGAAGGCUGGAGCAGAUCCAAAUGUUCCUGACCAAGUGAUCGUACUGAAUCCCUUUUCCUGCCAUAUUUUAUACUCUUCAAGUACAUAUAGUAUGACCUACACCUUAAUCCUUAGCCUCGAACAAGAAUGUUCUCCAGAACCUCAUGCUUUCUGUACUCUGUAACAACUUGGUAGGCUGCCUAUAGAAAUUGCCACGGUCCAAGUUGGAAAGAAACUCAUUCAACUUGUGUUUCCCGUGACUCGAUGCCUUCCAAACAUGUUUGGCUAGAGUGUUGCCUUACUCUUCUUCCUGCACCCAACGCUCUGCGUGCGUCCAGACCGCAUAGAUGCCGGUGUAACCUUGCUGGCUCUUGAAUAUGUGUUCUUUUUAGUUUCCUUCUUGACGUGUUCUCUCAACAAUGUUCUGGUGAUUGAUCCGUUUCCUUCUUGACAGUCACCUCUGCCUAUUUGUCAGUUUUAGUUUCCUUCAAUCUAUUAUGUUUUGAGCGAUGUUGAUUGACUAGAGCCGUCGGAAGGUUAUCACCAUCGUUUGGUUAAGAAGCUUGUGUACUAUUUGUAAAUUAUUAAAGCUUUGCGCUGAAAUGCAGGCCAAGAUUGAUGAGUUGAAGGCGAGAACAAACUACUACAAUACCAAACAAAUUAUAUAGGUCCAUUUCUCUAUAAAUUUACAAUAGCAUGACCCGACAUGCAUGCUUUAUGCAGGAUUGUACUGGUUAGUAGUUAGUGUAUGGUUCUCCAAAUCAAUUUAUUUGAAUUAUUGGCUAUCUUUCCCCUUUUGUUUGUUCAAGGCUGUAAGUUGUCUCCUGAUGCAUGGUCCUACCAUCCAAUACAAAUUUGAAAUUUAUUAUAUUGUUUCAUUCAUGGAUAAUGGAUUUGGUUUGCUUCUACUUAUGUGCUGGAUGGCAUAUAACACGGUUAGACUAUCUGACCUUCUCAAUGUUAAGGCUUUGUAAGCAUGAUGAGUAUUUUUGCUAAUGUUUUUUUAGCUAAAACAUAGUGGAUGGACAGAAUCAAACUCUAAAUUUGUUGUACUAAUUAAUAUGUUGUAUUUCGCAUUCUCUAGACAUGCUCUAGCCAUAUUGGUUCUGUCAUUCUGAUUAAUUAGUGGUAGAUACAUAUAGUUAAACUGAAUAAUCAGCUUAUUCAUUUGAUUUUGCUAUCUUGUUUGUGCCAUAGGAAAAUACAUGUACUGCUCAUACACUUGCUGAUUGCUUCUUUAAAAUAACAUAAACUGAAUUGGCUUUGCCCUUAUCUCGAUUAAUGAAAGGGUACUGCUUAUUCUGUUUGUACGUUACAAUUGUUAUCCUUUAUUGAAGUGUUUAAAGGGUAAUUGAUAUAAUUUUUGAUAUGUUCCAAGUAUGGUAAGAAAAUCAUGUGAGGUGUCAACCUUACUGAUGCAACGCAACUAGCAAUGUUAGAACAGUGCCAGUUUAUUUUGAUGUUAGUUUCGUACCGAACAGAUUCCUUUCUAGAAGACCCUACUGUAACAGAAAUAUUUAAAUAAUAUGGUAAUAAGCAGGCAAUUACGUAGAUAUUUGGGUGUACACUCGUAGUAUUAAAAUCCAAAUCCUCGAUGGAUUUAUGUAGAAGGUGGGCUAGGUGGGGAGGUGUGUGGCAUGGAUUCCUCCUUAUGUGGCAUGGAUUCCUCCUUAUUUUAAAAUAUAAUCACUCCUCCUUAUUUUAAAAUAUAAUCACUCCUCCUUAUUUUGAAAUUCUAUUCCACAAGAUAGUUCUUGCUCAUAGAGAUGCUUUUCAUGGAUUCUUUAAAAAACAGAGAACGUGUCAAGUUACUGCUUUGAAAAUGGGAGACAAUGUUCGGUUCUAGCUUUGACAUUUGUUAUAUCCAAUUAUACUCCUGUGGCUUGUAUGUUGUGGCAAGAUCCCCACUUACUACACCAAUUCUCGUUGGAAGUAAUACUGUUUUGUAUUUGGGACCAAUUUCAGUGGUGACUUAAUUACCGAUUUUGUAGUUUCUGCUUUAGGUUGUGAGGAUGUAGACUACCAGUGCUGCUGAUUGUAUAAAAACAUGCAAAAUGGAGGAUAAUUUAUUUUAAUUCUGCGAGCACUUUCUUGUUGACAAGGAGGUAUCGGAUGGUUCAUGAUCAGAAACAAGGUGGAGUGGAGGCUCACAAGGCCCAUCAAGAGGCUCGAGUCUUUAAAGAUUACGGAAGUGGAGCACCGAGUUGCUCUCUUCCAACUGCAAUGGUUGUUCUGCCAAUGGGGAGUCUGAGAUGUAGGGAGGAAUGGUCCUGAAGGCUCAUUGAGCACGGUCGAUUCUGUGUGCUCCGGCCCUUGCUCCAGCAACGAGGACCACACCUCUGUGUCUUCAUGUCCGUCCUCUCAUCCAGCCACCGAUGUCUGCCUCAAGCCACUUGGCUCACCCUAUCUGUAAAUUUAGUGCUUCUUCUGCCUGCAUACAUCCAUCUCACAGACGGAGGAAUAAGGCAGGGAGGAGGCUCAUGAGGACCAUAAAUGAGGCUUGAGUCUCUAAAGAUUAUGGAUGUGGAGCACCGGGUCACACUCCUCCAACUACAAUGGUUGUUCCACCAACAGGGGCAGAGAUGUAGGUAACUAACGAUGAUGCAGGCUCGUUGAAGAUUUGUGCUCCUUUCAAAAAUGCUGCAGAUUUAUUUUCUUGACGGAAGAAAAAUAAUUGAGCAACCUUAGAGAUGUGCUGCCUGCUUGCCUUUGGCUGUAGAACUAUAUGUAGGCACGUCAAACAAAUAAAAUCACACAUCACGUUCCACAGGGAGGAAAUAGGCAGAGCUGAUCGGAAGAAAAAUUGUGCUGCCUUUUAUGGUGGUUUUAACCAGUUGAAGGGUUUACUCCAAACUGGUGCUGAUCCGAGGAACACCGAGUUGACGAGGCGACCUUCUUUGUUUCAUCGAGCGAGGUGAUCAUCAGGCUUCGUUGAUUGUGGCAAGCGAUCAUUGAUAAAUACAUCAAAGGUCAUCGGGUACGGCAGACAUUGUUCGGUUGAGAAGGCCUGGGCAUGGGACAUUAGUAGCGACCCACACACUGGCGUAAGGAUGUGACUAUGGGGACAUCAAGUGCAGCUGUACCAGCCAAAAGACCUCACCCCAUUUCUCCAAACUGGCAUGCGAUUCUUAAGAUGUUCCCAUUCAGAAUUGACAUGCGGUCAUCUUCUCUCUACUGUUACUCAAGACUGACGGACAUGAAUCAUAGGAACUGUCGAAGCAUGAAGGGAACAACAAGAUGAACUGGCUUUUAUCGGCAUUCUUGUGUACAUUGAAGAUUUUGGGGCAUUUGGUUGCAUCUGAACUGUCUCUAUUUGAACCUUAGAUUGAUGAGUGAUUUGUUACAUUCUUCACUUGCACAACCUAUCUCUAUUUGAACUAACUGUGUUGUUCAAUGGUGUGCUUAAAUUCAGUUGUGGAAAGGAAUCGCAUCAGGCUUAGGGUAUCAUGGAACAAAGAAUUAUUGUUAAUGAAAAGCUAUUUUAACUCUGACCAGUAGCCGACAUUACUGCAAGUGCUUGCGGAGGCAAAAGGUCUAUUUAAAUGGGAUCCUUCUUUGGCCUCGUAACAUGAAAGGUGAAAGUUUGCAAGUGAAUUCUAUAGUAACGUGUUUUAAAUCUCUACUUGUAAGUUCAAACGAGUGUCCUAAUUUAUCAAUGUAGUAAUUAAAUCAU